AAAAAGUUUUAUUUUAGCUUUGAAUUUGGCUUUAAACUUUGUACAUAUGUAAAUUUUGUUUAAAAAGAUUGUUUGCAGUGUAAAAUCUUAAAUAUUAAAGUAAUUUAGAUUUAGGAAUGUGGUUUAACACGAACAAAAUUUGUGCCAGCAGUUGCGGUUAUACAAAUUGUGUGGGUCAAGUCUAUUUGAAUCGGUUAAGAGGGAUUUUUUAACUAACUAGGGCGUUUUUUAGGUGGAAUUUUAAAUGCUUGUUUGUUACAGAAUGGUUUCUGAGGCUGGGAAAUUUUAUAUUUAGACUAGGAUUAGAUACCCUAUUAUUUAAAGUGUAGAUUAUUUUCAAAAUUAGUAUUAGUUACGUUCUUGAAAAUUAAAAAUUUUGGCGGUAUUUUAGUCAUUUCAGAGGAACCUGUUUUAUAAACGAUACUCCACGAUUAAAUAUACCUAAAUUUUUAAUUUGUAUAUCGCCGUGGUUUGAAUAUUCUAUUAGGAUUUUAAUAUUCAGGAUUUUUUAUUAAAUAAGAAUUCAGGUCAAGGUGCAGUUUAUGUUUAGGUAAAAAUGGGUUACAUUACUAUAGGGUUUGGUUCCUAAAUUUUAAAUUUAGGUUAAAUUGGAUUUGAAAGUAAUUUUUUUUAUAUAGAAAUAAUGAUUUUGCUCUAAAAUAUGCACAUAUCGCCCGUCGCUUUCGUUUAAAAUGAAAUAAGUCGUAACAAAGUAGACUUAUUGGAAAAUGAGUCUGGAAUGAC
rnacentral:ncRNA from 1 species